AACGAACGCUAGCGGCAGGCCUAACACAUGCAAGUCGAACGCUCGUAGCAAUACGGGAGUGGCGCACGGGUGAGUAACGCGUGGGCACCUACCCGGUGGUCCGGAAUAACCGCGGGAAACUGCGGCUAAUACCGAAUAAGCCCUUAGGGGGAAAGAUUUAUCGCCAUCGGAUGGGCCCGCGUCGGAUUAGCUAGUUGGUGUGGUAACGGCGCACCAAGGCGACGAUCCGUAGCUGGUCUGAGAGGAUGAUCAGCCACACUGGGACUGAGACACGGCCCAGACUCCUACGGGAGGCAGCAGUGGGGAAUAUUGGACAAUGGGCGCAAGCCUGAUCCAGCCAUGCCGCGUGAGUGAAGAAGGCCUUCGGGUUGUAAAGCUCUUUUGGCGGGGACGAUGAUGACGGUACCCCGCAGAAUAAGCCCCGGCUAACUUCGUGCCAGCAGCCGCGGUAAGACGAAGGGGCUAGCGUUGUUCGGAAUUACUGGGCGUAAAGGGCGCGUAGGCGGUUUGUUAAGUCAGGCGUGAAAGCCCUGGGCUNAACCUGGGAUGUGCGCUUGAUACUGGCAGGCUUGAGUGCAGGAGAGGAUGGUGGGAUUCCCAGUGUAGAGGUGAAAUUCGUAGAUAUUGGGAAGAACACCGGUGGCGAAGGCGGCCAUCUGGACUGCAACUGACGCUGAGGCGCGAAAGCGUGGGGGAGCAAAACAGGAUUAGAUACCCUGGUAGU
rnacentral:rRNA from 1 species